GACAGAGGCCUCAAGCGUUAGGCGGAAUCACUGGGCUUAAAGCGUGUGUAGGCGGAUCGUUAAGUGUCUUGUGAAAUCCCAACGGCUCACCCGUGGAACGGCUGGGCAUACUGGCGAUCUUGGGCCAACUAGGGGCAACUGGAACAAGCGGUGGAGCGGUGAAAUGCGUAGAUAUCGCUUGGAACGCCGAAGGUGAAAACAGGUUGCUGGGGUUGUGCCGACGCUGAGACACGAAAGCCAGGGGAGCAAACGGG
rnacentral:rRNA from 1 species